UACGAAGGGGGCUAGCGUUGUUCGGAUUUACUGGGCGUAAAGCGCACGUAGGCGGAUCGUUAAGUCGGGGGUGAAAUCCUGGAGCUCAACUCCAGAACUGCCUUCGAUACUGGCGAUCUUGAGUCCGGAAGAGGUGAGUGGAACUCCUAGUGUAGAGGUGGAAUUCGUAGAUAUUAGGAAGAACACCAGUGGCGAAAGGCGG
rnacentral:rRNA from 1 species